rnacentral:piRNA from 1 species
UCCUUCAUAGGAGUUGCCUUGGUCGCGGU